rnacentral:rRNA from 1 species
CUUUUUUUUGGCGGCGGAUGGGUGAGUAACGCGUGAGAAACCCGCCUUUUACAAGGGGGAUAGCCUCGAGAAAUCGGGAUUAAUACCCUAUGAUACUUUUUAGUCGCAUGACUGAGUAGUUAAAGCGUAAAGCGGUAAAAGAUGGUCUCGCGUCCCAUUAGUUAGUUGGUGGGGUAAAGGCCUGCCAAGACCAUGAUACGUAGCCGACCUGAGAGGGUGAUCGGCCACACUGGGACUGAGACACGGCCCAGACUCCUACGGGAGGCAGCAGUAGGGAAUCUUCCACAAUGGGUGAAAACCUGAUGGAGCAAUGCCGCGUGAAUGAAGAAGGUCUUCGGAUCGUAAAGUUCUGUUAUUAGAGAAGAACAAGUCAAGGAGUAACUGUCUUGACUUUGACGGUACCUAACCAGAAAGUCACGGCUAACUACGUGCCAGCAGCCGCGGUAAUACGUAGGUGACAAGCGUUGUCCGGAAUUAUUGGGCGUAAAGGGAGCGCAGGCGGUUGGAAUAGUCUGAUGUGAAAGCCCACGGCUUAACCGUGGAAGGUCAUUGGAAACUGUCCAACUUGAAUACAGAAGAGGUAAGUGGAAUUCCAAGUGUAGCGGUGAAAUGCGUAGAUAUUUGGAGGAACACCAGUGGCGAAGGCGACUUACUGGUCUGUAAUUGACGCUGAGGCUCGAAAGCGUGGGUAGCAAACAGGAUUAGAUACCCUGGUAGUCCACGCCGUAAACGAUGAGUGCUAAGUGUUAGGGGGUUUCCGCCCCUUAGUGCUGGAGUUAAC